rnacentral:sRNA from 1 species
UAAGCCUCUGGAGUGAACUUCCGGGCCAGCCUCAACGUCACAUUCCACAGCUUUUGCCUCCCUGGACUGCCUCCCUGAAUCGAUUUAGAUUGCAGGAUGAACCCUCCUGUCUUGUGCUGUUUUCAUACUUGGAAGUUUCUUAAAUGGAUAAUGCCCUUGUUCCAGUAACUAGUCGAUUUGCUAGGCCAUUGAGGCAUCUCGAUGCAGACUACAUAGGAUACGGUGGAAGUUGAACGGCGGCGAAAUGCCAUGGGCUUUUGAAUCCGUGACUGAUGGCGGAGGUCAAACGGAUUGCAGCAUUGUGCGAGAUGGCAUCCCAUCUCGCAUGAAACAAAA